rnacentral:ncRNA from 1 species
GAGAGCCCGGUGCCUGGAAAGCGGGCACGCCGGGUUCGGAGGGAGGCUGCACGGAGAAGGCCCGAACCCAUACGGGAUAAGGGACCUCGCCGUGCAGCCCACCCUAC